rnacentral:rRNA from 1 species
UACGGGGGGGGCAAGCGUUGUUCGGAAUUACUGGGCGUAAAGGGCGCGUAGGCGGCCUUCUAAGUCGGACGUGAAAUCCCUCGGCUUAACCAAGGAACUGCGUCUGAUACUGGAAGGCUUGAAUCCGGGAGAGGGAUGUGGAAUUCCAGGUGUAGCGGUGAAAUGCGUAGAUAUCUGGAGGAACACCGGUGGCGAAGGCGGCAUCCUGGACCGGCAUUGACGCUGAGGCGCGAAAGCUAGGGGAGCAAACGGG